rnacentral:ncRNA from 2 species
AGUAUUGGUAGAGGCGCACUUUACAAAAAGUAGUAUCUGAUUGAAAGCCAUCGCAAGGUUAGUGUCAGAUAUAAAAGGUGUAGGUGCCGAAGACAAUCAAGGCGUAUGAUUGGUCUGGCAAAAUGAAAUAAGAUUCAUUCUGCUGUUGCAUUAUUUGCAAAGAGCUAUCCUAUUA